rnacentral:rRNA from 1 species
UACGGGGGGAGCAAGCGUUGUUCGGAUUUACUGGGCGUAAAGGGCGCGUAGGCGGCGUGACAAGUCACUUGUGAAAUCUCCGGGCUUAACCCGGAACGGUCAAGUGAUACUGUCGUGCUAGAGUACAGAAGGGGCAACUGGAAUUCUCGGUGUAGCGGUGAAAUGCGCAGAUAUCAGGAGGAACACCGGUGGCGAAGGCGGGUCUCUGGGCAGUAACUGACGCUGGAGGAGCGAAAGCGUGGGGAGCAAACAGGA